rnacentral:rRNA from 1 species
AUUGAACGCUGGCGGAAUGCUUUACACAUGCAAGUCGAACGGCAGCACGGGGGCAACCCUGGUGGCGAGUGGCGAACGGGUGAGUAAUACAUCGGAACGUGCCCGGUCGUGGGGGAUAACGUAGCGAAAGUUACGCUAAUACCGCAUACGAUCUGAUGAUGAAAGCGGGGGACCUUCGGGCCUCGCGCGAUCGGAGCGGCCGAUGUCAGAUUAGGUAGUUGGUGGGGUAAAGGCCUACCAAGCCGACGAUCUGUAGCUGGUCUGAGAGGACGACCAGCCACACUGGGACUGAGACACGGCCCAGACUCCUACGGGAGGCAGCAGUGGGGAAUUUUGGACAAUGGGCGCAAGCCUGAUCCAGCCAUUCCGCGUGCAGGACGAAGGCCUUCGGGUUGUAAACUGCUUUUGUAUGGAACGAAAAGGCUCUGGCUAAUACCUGGGGCUCAUGACGGUACCGUAAGAAUAAGCACCGGCUAACUACGUG